CCGUUAAGUGAUGACGCGACAAACGGAGUAUUACGUCAUCACGUUCAAUCACUGACAUGUCAUCACCUUCAAUGACGUGUCAAUGAUUGGACGUGAUGAUGUUACACUCCGUCUGUCACGUCAUUACUUAAUGAAA
rfam:Glycine soja cultivar W05 scaffold4038_12, whole genome shotgun sequence.